rnacentral:rRNA from 1 species
AGCGAACGCUGGCGGCAGGCCUAACUCAUGCAAGUCGAACGGACCCUUCGGGGUUAGUGGCGGACGGGUGAGUAACACGUGGGAACGUGCCUUUGGGUUCGGAAUAGCUCCUGGAAACGGGUGGUAAUGCCGAAUGUGCCCUUCGGGGGAAAGGUUUAUCGCCUUUAGAGCGGCCCGCGUCUGAUUAGCUAGUUGGUGAGGUAAUGGCUCACCAAGGCGACGAUCAGUAGCUGGUCUGAGAGGAUGACCAGCCACACUGGGACUGAGACACGGCCCAGACUCCUACGGGAGGCAGCAGUGGGGAAUCUUGCGCAAUGGGCGAAAGCCUGACGCAGCCAUGCCGCGUGAAUGAUGAAGGUCUUAGGAUUGUAAAAUUCUUUCACCGGGGACGAUAAUGACGGUACCCGGAGAAGAAGCCCCGGCUAACUUCGUGCCAGCCGCCGCCGUAA